AUCUGUCUUUCUCAGCGGUUGCUCUGCCCUCUGAGGAGCAUACUUUUCUUAAAUUUAAAAAUUUAAAUGAACACCUUGCCACAUUUUGUGUACUCCUUGUUCAAUUCUUUGUUUAGGAGAAGAAUCUGGAUCCCUGGGAAAAGCAUAGCACCUCAGGCCCCAGAAACAACUGUGCAGCUACCAUGCACACCAGGUACCAAUUCCCAAUGGUGAACGUCAUCGUACUGCAUACCUGAAAUGUACCAAUAAACUUAAUGAAGAAAGAAAGAUAUCAGAUUUGAG
rnacentral:lncRNA from 1 species